GACGAACGCUGGCGGCGUGCCUAACACAUGCAAGUCGAGCGGAGUUGACAAGAGGAAGUUUUCGGAUGGAAUCUUGUUGAUUUAGCGGCGGACGGGUGAGUAACGCGUGAGCGACCAACCUUGCACAGGGGGGAUAACGGACCGAAAGGUUCACUAAUACCGCAUGAGACCACGGUGUUGCAUGACACAGGGGGUCAAAGGAGGAAUCCGGUGCAAGACGGGCUCGCGUCCGAUUAGGUAGUUGGUGGGGUAAUGGCUCACCAAGCCUAUGAUCGGUAGCCGACCUGAGAGGGUGAUCGGCCACAUUGGAACUGAGAUACGGUCCAAACUCCUACGGGAGGCAGCAGUGGGGAAUAUUGGGCAAUGGGGGAAACCCUGACCCAGCAACGCCGCGUGAAGGAAGAACGGUUUUCGGAUUGUAAACUUCUGUCCUUGGUGAAGAGAAGAAGACGGUAGCCAAGGAGGAAGCCCCGGCUAACUACGUG
rnacentral:rRNA from 1 species